rnacentral:lncRNA from 1 species
UAGGUACAUGUGUGAGCGGAGAAGAGAGUGGCGUGACAUUUUUACAGGCAUGGAGAUGUUGAGAGGUCUUGAUGGCCUUCUGAAUUAAGUUUUCUAGACCGACGUUGUCGUCAUAAAUUACCAUUUGUAAUCAAAUAUCGGCGUUGAGCCCUUGACGAAAUGAAGUGUAUAAGGCCACCUCAUUCCACCCACUCAUCACCGCCAGAGUGCGGAAUUUUAACGGUGUACUCACUCACUGAAGCCGAGCCUUGACUGAUGCGGAAGAGCUAAUCAUGAACGGAGAUCUCCGCAGCUGCAUGACCGAACACCUCUUUGAAAUGGGACAUAAAUGCCAUUAGGGUGCGGAUAGGGUGCUCACAGUUCAGUAAGUCUUCAUUCAAAAGCCUGAUAAUACUUUCAACUUAUUAUAAACAUGGUUCAGUCCAGCAAGUGCUAAACAUUUCUUGAAGCUUUGUUAAAUUUUGCUUAUCAGGUGAUUUGGAAAGUAACACAUUGACUACAGAUAAUCAUAUGACUGCCAAUAUAUCAUUCAGCAAAACUAUGCCUUUUAAGGUAUGCAAAUGAAAUUGGUUUAAGCCGACAGGACAUGACAUGCUUCUAUACUUUGUCCAUUUUCAGCUAUUCUGCUUAGAUUAAAGUCCUAAAAAGACUACACAUUAAAAGUGCACCACUUCCAUCAUUUAUACGACUGAGGGAAAGCCACUCAAAAAUGUCUGAGAGUAUUUACGACAGUGUAAACACUGACAGAACAUGGGAUAUGGACAGAUGUACCAGGGCAAACCAAACACCUCAACACACAGGAAGUGAUUCAGUGCAGAUCAGAAGCUCCAGAGCAGCUGCAGUGUGUUUGUUGCUGCUGUAUUAAAGGCUCCUGUAAGAGGGACUCUUAUUAUGAAACCGGAAUUGUUAUAGUACGACGUUAGGGGGCAGUGUAGUUUGAUGAGCUGCCGCUGUUUGGUGUGUUCGUAUGAUCUGUCCAAGCCAUCAGCUGGCAAGGAUGAUGCUUCCAGUUUAUUUGUGGAGAUUGUUGCAGAUUUAAUAUCAGGGUGUUAGUCACUGACCACAAAGUAAGCCUAUUUUAUUUAUAUUUGUGUUAGCAGAGAUCGCUAUAGUGUUAUAUGCUUUUUUUCCAUAUAAACAUGCCUAGACAUGUUCGGUAACGAUGGUUCUUUAGUGUUUUCCGAUCGGGAAUAUUAUUUAAUGUGUGAUUAUUCUUUAUAAAGAUGUAAAUCAGUGUUAUGAUGUCUUAACAACGUGAUGUUGUUCUGUUAAUCUGCUACAAGACCAAACAAGUGAUUAGCGUUCUGUUUAUGUAAAUGUUAUUCAUAUGCACCAUGAUUCUAUCCAUAUAUGGGAGGUUUAUGUUCAUAGGGACAAAUGAUCACUCAUGACUUAUAGUUUUCUGUGAAAUAUCUGGUUUCCCUUCAUUUAACUGUGUUUUCAGUAGAGAAAUGCCAAUUAUGUGAAUAUUAUGAAUGCUUCGGUUUCAUUAUGUAACAGUAAAUGUUACUAUUGUUUAUAUAUAUCCUUAGUUUAUUCAUUUCUUUAUUGUAUUUAUUUUUUGCAGACUAUCUACGCCUUUGAUUGUACAUCUGUGGGCCUUCCUUUUCUCUACUAAUACAACAUUGAAAGCUAAUCACCUGCCUCCUCAUUAUUGGUGCUCUGACCGGCACCCAGGGGGGUUUACUCAUCCAUUACCUGAUCAGAACCUAACAGUCCUAAAGUCUCUCCAACAAAUUUGGUCCUUCGAGCCG